rnacentral:miRNA from 1 species
GCGUCUAGGUUGGCGCGCGG